rnacentral:tRNA from 1 species
GCCUCCAUAGUUCUAACGGUAAAACGACUGCCUUGUAAGCAGUAGUUGAUAGUUCGAUUCUAUCUGGAGGCU